rnacentral:lncRNA from 1 species
GUCUCUCAUCCCUUUCUUUAGAGACGAAACGCACCCUUAAACCACCGUCCGCCGGAAAUUGCCUAUGGCGGCGCCCGGCCACCAAUCACUCCAAAAAUCACAUCCUUGAUUCCUCACCACCACCCCAUCCCAAAUAUCCAAACAACCCACCUCAAAAUCCCUCUGAAAUCUCUCUAAUUUUAGAUUAAAAAACGAGACUAGAGCGCCGCCCCAUUUUUCCACCACCAUCGGCCGACGACACCACCACAAAACAACCCCAAAUUAACACCCUGCGACCACCAAGCCCCCUUGUUCCAAAUCUGUAACCCUUUACCCUCGAAUGUGCCCAGAAC